GACGAACGCUGGCGGCGUGCUUAACACAUGCCAGUCGAACGGAAAGGCCCUGCUUUUGUUGCUUGCUCGAUUGGCGAACGGGUGAGUAACACGUGAGUAACCUGCCCUUGACUUUGUGAUAACUUCAGGAAACUGCGGCUAAUACCGGAUAGGAGCUCCUGCUGCACGGUGGGGGUUGGAAAGUUUCGGCGGUUGGGGAUGGACUGGAGGCUUCUCAGCUUGUUGGUGUGGUAGUGGCUUACCAAGGCUUUGACGGAUAGCCGGCCUUGGAAGUUUACCGGCGUCAUUGGUCCUAAGAUACGGCCCAGACGGCUACGGGAGGCAAAGGUGGGGAAUAUUACACAAUGAGCGGAAGCCUGAUGCGGAAACGCCGCGGGCGGGAUGACGGGCUUCGAGUUGUGAACCACUUUCGCCUGUGACAUAGCCUGAGUGACGGUACUGGGUAAAGAAGCACCGGCUAACUACGUG
rnacentral:rRNA from 1 species